rnacentral:rRNA from 1 species
UGAGGAAUAUUGCGCAAUGGGGGCAACCCUGACGCAGCAACGCCGCGUGGGUGAAGAAGGCCUUCGGGUUGUAAAGCCCUGUCUAGUGGGAAGAAACCCUGAGGUGUGAAUAGCACUUCAGACUGACGGUACCACUGGAGGAAGCACCGGCUAACUCCGUGCCAGCAGCCGCGGUAAGACGGAGGGUGCAAGCGUUGUUCGGAAUCACUGGGCGUAAAGCGCGUGUAGGCGGUCCGAUAAGUCGGGUGUGAAAGCCCGGAGCUCAACUCCGGAAGCGCAUCCGAAACUGGCGGGCUUGAGUACGGGAGAGGGAAGUGGAAUUCCUGGUGUAGAGGUGAAAUUCGUAGAUAUCAGGAGGAACACCGGUGGCGAAGGCGGCUUCCUGGACCGAUACUGACGCUGAGACGCGAAAGCGUGGGGAGCAAACAGG